GGGAUCGUGGCGCAGUUGGCUAGCGCGUAGGUCUCAUAGCGAUAUGAGCCUUAUCCAAGAUAGGCAUAUCCUAAGGUCGUGAGUUCGAGCCUCACCGAUCCCA
rnacentral:tRNA from 3 species